UACGAAGGGGGCUAGCGUUGUUCGGAAUUACUGGGCGUAAAGGGUUCGUAGGCGGCCAACUAAGUCGGACGUGAAAUCCCCAGGCUCAACCUGGGAACUGCGUCCGAUACUGGAUGGCUUGAAUUCGGGAGAGGGAUGCAGAAUUCCAGGUGUAGCGGUGAAAUGCGUAGAUAUCUGGAGGAAUACCGGUGGCGAAGGCGGCAUCCUGGACCGACAUUGACGCUGAUGAGCGAAAGCUAGGGGAGCAAACGGG
rnacentral:rRNA from 1 species